GACCCAGUGGCGUAGCGGUAACGCACCCUGAACGCACCUACUGAAAGUAGGCAGGGAACAAACAAGUUUGGUGGGAGUUCCCUGUUUGACUCAGGGCUGGGUCA